GACGAACCGUGCGAACGUUAUUCGGAUUCACUGGGCGUAAAGGGAGCGUAGGUGGCAUUCUAAGUCUGAUGUGAAAGCUCUGAGCUUAACUCAGAAAUGGCAUUAGAUACUAGUUUGCUUGAGGAUUGGAGGGGAGAUUGGAAUUCUUGGUGUAGCAGUGAAAUGCGUAGAUAUCAAGAGGAACACCAGUGGCGAAGGCGAAUCUCUGGACAAUUCCUGACACUGAUGCUCGAAAGCUAGGGGAGCAAACGGG
rnacentral:rRNA from 1 species